rnacentral:rRNA from 1 species
AUGCAUUGGCAGUGCCUUAAAUAUAAGCUGCCAAUGGAAUUUUUUUUUUGCAAAGUCAACGGAAUACUAAUUAAAUUGACCACUCUCGUUGCAGUUCACUCCGUCAAAUUUAUUGCAAGAAGGGAAUGGAUUGUAGCUGUGACAAAUAAUGCUGAGUUCUGUGUCUACAAUUGUGCGUGUGUAACAAAAAUUGAGAAGAUCUGGUGUGUCGAACCUUGGCAUAGCAAGAUCAGUCUAGUACUAGCCGUUCAUCCAAUCCUAUCGUACGUGUUCUCACCGGGGGCACUGCUUUUAGACUGGCAACUGGGCUGGAAGCGCCAACGUAACUAUUCGGCUGCUGACGUAAGGACAAUCGCAUUUAACCCAGGGGAUGCCAGCAGUUUUGUAAGUGGGUCUUUUGGUGGCGAAGUGCAGGUUUGGAGGCUUGAUUCUUCUCUCCCUGAAUAUUCUUUGCCUGGGCAUAUGGACAGACUGAAUUGCCUUGAUUUUAUCACACGCGGAGAUCAAUGGUAUUUGAUCUCUGGCUCUGAUGAUUGCACCGCCAAGAUAUGGGACUUGCAGAAAAGGGUGUGCAUUUGUACGCUGGAAGCUACGUCUCCGGUUCUUUGUGUCCUUGUCCAUCCAAACCUUCCAGUUCUAAUUACAGGAACAGCAGAUGGCAUCAUGCACGUCUGGAGCUCCACUAAUUUCAGGCUCAAGAGAACCAUUAACUUAGGCGGCGGUGGACGUGUUGUCGGUCUCGCAUGUUUGAUGGGUUCACGAAGGAUUGUGAUUGGGCAAGAACGCCAUAUUUACCAUGGAUAUCCAUGA